UACGGAGGGGGCUAGCGUUGUUCGGGAUUACUGAGCGUAAAGGGCACGUAGGCGGAUCAGAGAGUCAGAGGUGAAAUCCCAGGGCUCAACCUUGGAACUGCCUCUGAAACUCCUGGUCUUGAGGUCGAGAGAGGUGAGUGGAAUUCCGAGUGUAGAGGUGAAAUUCGUAGAUAUUCGGAGGAACACCAGUUGCGAAGGCGGCUCACUGGCUCGAUACUGACGCUCAGGUGCGAAAUCGUGGGGAGCAAACAGG
rnacentral:rRNA from 1 species